UCUCCGUUGGUGAACCAGCGGAGGGAUCAUUACCGAGUUUACAACUCCCAAACCCAAUGUGAACGUUACCAAACUGUUGCCUCGGCGGGAUCUCUGCCCCGGGUGCGUCGCAGCCCCGGACCAAGGCGCCCGCCGGAGGACCAACCAAAACUCUUAUUGUAUACCCCCUCGCGGGUUUUUUUAUAAUCUGAGCCUUCUCGGCGCCUCUCGUAGGCGUUUCGAAAAUGAAUCAAAACUUUCAACAACGGAUCUCUUGGUUCUGGCAUCGAUGAAGAACGCAGCGAAAUGCGAUAAGUAAUGUGAAUUGCAGAAUUCAGUGAAUCAUCGAAUCUUUGAACGCACAUUGCGCCCGCCAGUAUUCUGGCGGGCAUGCCUGUCCGAGCGUCAUUUCAACCCUCGAACCCCUCCGGGGGGUCGGCGUUGGGGAUCGGCCCUGCCUCUUGGCGGUGGCCGUCUCCGAAAUACAGUGGCGGUCUCGCCGCAGCCUCUCCUGCGCAGUAGUUUGCACACUCGCAUCGGGAGCGCGGCGCGUCCACAGCCGUUAAACACCCAACUUCUGAAAUGUUGACCUCGGAUCAGGUAGGAAUACCCGCUGAACUUAA
rnacentral:rRNA from 1 species